rnacentral:rRNA from 1 species
CACAAGGGUCUCACUGUCUUAAGGGAAUUUCCAGUGAAAUUGAAUUUGUAGUGAAGAUGCUACAUCCAAAUUGUUAGACGAGAAGUCCCCAUGGAACUUUACUGGAAACUUAUGUGGCUUAAAUAGUUUUAAAAUGUGGUGUACCUUCGGGUUAACUGGGGUUAAAGCUCACUCUUUUAUUUUAAGAAAGCCAACUCAAAGAUUUAUGUGUUUGGGAUUUGAUAAGUGGGACAGUUUGGUUGGGGCGACCGCCUUUAAAAAAGUAACGAAGGCGGGCUUAAGAUAUAUAUUUAGUUAUGUCUGACUGCCAAGGGGGAGUCCUGAGCAGACACUUAUCUUUGGAUUGGUGGGCUUAAGUGACCCGUUGAUUUAGGGUGAAAUAGUUAACGAUAAACA